rnacentral:rRNA from 1 species
AGCGAACGCUGGCGGCAGGCCUAACACAUGCAAGUCGAACGAAGUCUUCGGACUUAGUGGCGGACGGGUGAGUAACACGUGGGAACGUGCCUUUAGGUUCGGAAUAACUCAGGGAAACUUGUGCUAAUACAGAAUGUGCCCUUCGGGGGAAAGAUUUAUCGCCUUUAGAGCGGCCCGGGUCUGAUUAGCUAGUUGGUGAGGUAAAGGCUCACCAAGGCGACGAUCAGUAGCUGGUCUGAGAGGAUGAUCAGCCACAUUGGGACUGAGACACGGACCAAACUCCUACGGGAGGCAGCAGUGGGGAAUCUUGCGCAAUGGGCGAAAGCCUGACGCAGCCAUGCCGCGUGAAUGAUGAAGGUCUUAGGAUUGUAAAAUUCUUUCACCGGGGACGAUAAUGACGGUACCCGGAGAAGAAGCCCCGGCUAACUUCGUGCCAGCCGCCGCCGUAAGAC